AGGAUAAACGCUGGCGGCGUGCCUAACACAUGCAAGUCGAACGCCCUACGCAAGUAGGGAGUGGCGGACGGGUGAGGAACACGUGGGUUAUCUGCCUUUCGGUGAGGAAUACCAGCGAGAAAUCGCUGACAAUACCGCAUACGGUUCUUUCGAGAGGAAGAACGAAAGUCGUAAGACGCCGGGAGAUGAGCCUGCGCCCGAUUAGUUUGUUGGUGGGGUAAAAGCCUACCAAGACUGCAAUCGGUAGCUGGUCUGAGAGGACGAUCAGCCACACUGGGAUUGAGACACGGCCCAGACUCCUACGGGAGGCAGCAGUGAGGAAUUUUCCGCAAUGGGCGAAAGCCUGACGGAGCGACGCCGCGUGCACGAGGAAGGUCUUCGGAUCGUAAAGUGCUGUCGAGGGGGACGAUUAUGACGGUACCCCUGGAGGAAGCCCGGCUAACUACGUGCCAGCAGCCGC
rnacentral:rRNA from 1 species